UGCCAGCCGCCGCGGUAAUACAGAGGGUGCGAGCGUUAAUCGGAAUUACUGGGCGUAAAGCGUGCGUAGGCGGUUAAUUAAGUCAGAUGUGAAAGCCCUGGGCUCAACCUGGGAAUUGCAUUUGAUACUGGUUAACUUGAGUAUGGGAGAGGGAAGUGGAAUUUCCGGUGUAGCGGUGAAAUGCGUAGAUAUCGGAAGGAACACCAGUGGCGAAGGCGACUUCCUGGACCAUUACUGACGCUGAGGCACGAAAGCGUGGGGAGCAAACAGGAUUAGAUA
rnacentral:rRNA from 1 species